rnacentral:tRNA from 1 species
GGUGAGGUGUCCGAGUGGCUGAAGGAGCACGCCUGGAAAGUGUGUAUACGUUUACACGUAUCGAGGGUUCGAAUCCCUCUCUCACCGCCA